GUAUUUUUCUAGAGUCAGUGUUAUGCCAAACAGCUUGAGUUAUAUGAGGCUAUCGGGGCUUUUGAAACAUUGUCGUCUCAAAAUGUGUGGUUAUUAUACCUGUGGAUAUUUUGAUUCUAUUUUCCCAUUGGAGGUUCCACGUUUUCUUCGAUGAAAAAAAGGGAGAAAUGGCAGCACCUGGGGAGCACACAAAGGGUGGCACGGGGGUCAAGAGACGACCCUCAACUCUUUGAUUACGCGAGCAGCCUCGAGGUGAAGACCUCUACUUUCCCGAAUGCUCACCGUGGCCCACUUUUCCGCUCUUUUCUUCCCUCGAUGCUCGGAAAAUGCAUUUCGCCCUCAAGGAUCUCUGUGUGAAGAUUAUUCUCAAGCAUUCUACAUGUGAUUGAGAUUUGGAAAUGUGCUCAAGAUUGAACCAGGAUCUAGAAUUUACUUUAUUAUAUAUUUUUAAAUUGUUUUUAUAUUUUUGUUUAUUUAUUUAUAUGUGUUUUUAAAAUUUUUAUUUUUUAAUUUAUUUAUAUAUUUAAAAAAAUAUUUAUUUAGUUUUUUUAUUUUAUUAAUUAACUUAUUUCAUUUAUAAAAGUUUUUAUAUGAAUGACUCAAUUGCCAGAAAUACCCUUUGAAGUUUACUUGAAGCAGACUUUUUGAGGAAACUAGAGGUGCGAUACCGGUGACAAAACAUCGAUCAACCACGGAUUGUAUGGAAUUUUCAAACGUACAGAUAAGACGAAUCUACUUGAAUGAGAGGGAAAAGCAAAAUAUUCAUGCGCGUACUCCACUCAUUUGACUGAGACUCUGUUUCUGCAAAAGCUGACAUCACUAAAAAUAAUAGAUUCGUCUAUUUCCGGCUGUAAAACGGAUGUUUGUCUUUCCAUACAAUCCGUGGUCAGACUGUAUUGAAAUUCAUCGACUACAAAACAUCACUGCUUUAAAACAUUGCUUUUCUAAAACAUAGAAUUUUUUUAUGCUAGUACAUUAGUGGUUCCCAACCUUAUUUUGCUCGAGGUCCGCACCCCGUAUUAUGAUGAAUCUCCCGUAACACAUUUAAAAUUAAUGUUUGUUUAUUCUUUUUCUAGACAACAUGGGAAAAGGAAAAAACAAAUUACAAAUCAAAUAUAUUUGUUAUCAUUACUACAUGUUAAUUCAUACGAAGUUUCCAUCUGUUUUCAAAUACCAAUUUCUGACCAUUGAAAGCAAUUUUUGAAGCUAUGCUUCCGUUCCACCUUUUACCUUUGACGCGCAUGUGCAAAGCUUUCUUUAUGUAAAAUUGUUUAACUUCAUCUGUAGCGAAGCCUCCGUGGCGCAAUCGACUAUCGCGUUCGACUGUGGUUGGCGGUUCAAGCCCUGCCGGAAGAAUGAAAUGUUUUUUGAAUGUUAAAAAAACGGCAGUCACGGGACUAGCAGACAGAAGCUUUUCAGUUAAACUGGAUAACGUUGAAUUAAUAAAUUUAAUUAUAUUAACUCGAACUUAAUUCGAUUUAUCGUUUUAAUAUAACAUAAUAGGCUUAUGUUAGUCAAUAAAAGCAUAGCUUCUGUCGGGAGGCCCCACGACUGCCAUUUUUUAUUCCUUUGUUGUGUUGAUUUUUACCUUUGCAAUUUGUAUUUACUACUACAUGACUUUUCGCAUAAU